rnacentral:lncRNA from 1 species
CCGGGACAGGCUCACAUGUAAAGAGACCAAAAAAUCCCAAUCAACCGUGUGGUGCUUAGCAUGAAGCACUGGCUCUCACUUUUGGGAAUGCAGCAGGAAGCAGUCCUCUUUUAGGCUCUGCUUUUGAGUGUUGCUCCAUUCCCCCUCACCACCCAAAACAGGGAGAGGAAGGCACAAGUUAAAGAAAGCCCAUGGAAGUGCAGCAGUGGACACACCAGCACACUGCCCAAUUGCCUCGGGUAGGCAGCCAAGCAGUGGGAAGCAGGUUGGAUUUGCAGGAGGACAACAUGCAGGCCAGUGCUCAUGGCACCUGUGACGAUUAAUAUCAAAGGGUAUUAUUGCAACUUUUCCUCCUGACAUUCAAACCAAGCAAUUUCAGCGGCUGUCAGUCAAGCACAAGGAAGGGCAGGAGGUGAGGUCAGGUCUCCCUCGGAUCCAAGCGCUUUUUCUAUUUACAUUGACACAAGGAAGAGCUGAACAUGUAGUGAACACACAGGAAAUGUCAUCUCUGCUCAUAGACUUUUGCACGAAGGGUGAGACCUGAAUAUUGAUCUCUUCUUCCAGGCUGGAAGGUCUGGAAGAAGGUCUGGGCUCUGCAGGUCCGUGAGCUCAGGGGCUCACAGUGUCUGCCUGUGGGGUGUAAUGCCAAUGACCGUGGCUUUGGGAUCCCAAACACGGCCCCAUCUUCUCCUCUCUUUCCUUCCUCAACUCAAAAAGUUAACACAUUCCACAACUGGGAAUGAAAGCCCCUUUAGGUACUGAGCAGAGCACAGACAGCACACGGUAUCAGCACGAGGCAUCAUUUCUCCAGCAGCCCAGGGAAUCUGAACACUCAAGUGGCAGAUUAAUUUCAAUGCAAACUGAUCGGAGAUGAGGAGAUAACCGCACUGGUUAUUUUGUGGGCAAACAGCACUUCCUUUACAGCCUCAAUCUCAAAAUACUUUCCCUUUGUUGUGCCAUCGCUGCCUCAAACACAAAUUCAAAAGAAGCUCAAAUAAGUCCAUAUUUCUCCAGGAGCAAUUUGCACAAACCCUGUGUUUUCUGUGUUUACUUCGUUUGCCAAAAUUAGAAGUGAAAGCCAGAGCAGCAGGAUGGGAGACACUCCCCUGGUUGGAAUUACUUCCACUUUUCCUCGAGGGUUCUUACUGACAG